rnacentral:tRNA from 1 species
UUUUGUGUGGCUUAUUUUUAAAGUCUAGGAUUCUUACUCCUAUUAUGUAUUUUUGUACCACAAAAU